AUUGAACGCUGGCGGAAUGCUUUACACAUGCAAGUCGAACGGCAGCACGGGGCAACCUGGUGGCGAGUGGCGAACGGGUGAGUAAUACAUCGGAACGUGCCCAAUCGUGGGGGAUAACGUAGCGAAAGUUACGCUAAUACCGCAUACGAUCUACGGAUGAAAGCGGGGGAUCGCAAGACCUCGCGCGAAUGGAGCGGCCGAUGUCAGAUUAGGGUAGUUGGUGGGGGUAAAGGCUCACCAAGCCGACGAUCUGUAGCUGGUCUGAGAGGACGACCAGCCACACUGGGACUGAGACACGGCCCAGACUCCUACGGGAGGCAGCAGUGGGGGAAUUUUGGGACAAUGGGCGCAAGCCUGAUCCAGCCAUUCCGCGUGCA
rnacentral:rRNA from 1 species